CCGGGGGCGCGCCGGGGGCGGCGGGGUGCGGGCCGCGCGCGCCGCCUCGCGCCUCGGGCCUCUCCCGGCGCCCUUUGCCGGGCAGCGCCGCAGCGCCGGAUCCUUCGGCCUCCUGGGCCCGAGGCCUAGGAGACCGGAGCUUCGCUGCAUCUGAAGAAUGUGCUUGCGUCAGGGUUGCUGCCUGGAGUUGCAAGAACCGGUUUCAUUCUCUCGCCCCGACAUCCUGCCCCCCUUUUAAGAAGAAAUUAAUGGCUUGUUCUCAGUGGGUGCUCCCGCCCCAUCCAGCUCGGGCGCGGGGUGUCUGCUGCAGACCAGCCGAAGGCGCCUUCGGUCCCAGAGGAGUUGAAUCACCCCUCCCGCUGCCCUCCCCCCGGGGGAGCAGGGCCCAAAGGUCCAGGGAACCACAGUGCGCCCCCCACCCCCUUUCGGGAGGGCCCGGAAUGAUCCCUUCCUGAGGCCAGGAAAUCUCUGAAGGUUUACCGUAAGCCUGGCCCUGCCCCGUGCUAAGGAACCAAGUAUGACUAAGAUGUGGUUUCUGCCCCCGAGGAGGCUUGAAGUCUACCCCAGAGAAAGACCUGGAAGCACAUCCUUUCAUUGUCCAACCAUGCAGCAAUUAGGGUGUAUGUAAGACGUCAAGUGAGCACGGAGGAAGAAGCAGGUUUUCCUGAACAUCAGAGAGUGUCUCCAGAUGAGACGUUUGCCUCAACUUGAUGCACAGCCCGUAUCGAUUGAAACUACUAUGUGCUGCACGCUGGAUAUGGAAACAGUGAUUUUAAAAAUGCAUUUCCUGUCUUCAUGGGCCUGUGAGUCUUAAAAUAAAAUGAGUAAGAGAUGCUGCUAGGGUUGCAGCCAGAGGUAAAGGAACGUGCCAAAGCCAGGAGCGGGUGGUCUGAAGUUCUGGUGACUCGCUGAGGCCCCGCAUCGCAGCUUGGAGAGAAGCAGCCAGGGACGGGACCAGCCGAGUGGACUGCGUCACCUUAGGGAGGGCUUGAUGGGGCCAGCGACCCCUGCGGGCUUCACCCCCGGCCCAGAAAACGCGGGAAGUGCUUGGUGGGAUUGGGGUUUCAGCAAGAUCACGCUGGGGUCAUAUGGAGCAAAUACCACUGGGCUUCCAAGGGAUGACGAGGCAGCCUGUGGCCCAGGGAGAACAAGCAAAUUAUAAAUGCAUAAUGGCGUGUAAUGCUGCUAUGCAUGAUUGAUUACUAAUUGAUUAUUAGUAAUGAGAGAUGAUACAGUGGGCCCAAAUUCUCAAAGGCCAAAUUCAUGGCCUUCUGAUGCUGUUGUAGCACAGGAUAAAUUAGGUGAUUUAUACAAAGUACUUUAAAAUUUUCAUGCCAACUUACUUGGUAAUUCUUCAAAGGUUGAAAAAAACGUAGUGGGAAGAUCUGAGUGGGAAUUUCUGUUCAUUCACUUUUUAACUGUAUGAUCUUGGGUGAAUUGAGAAUAUUUUAAUCUAUAAAGUGGAAUUAUAGGCUGAAUUUUGUCUGAAAAACUAAUACAAGUUCUUGCAAGUAAUAGAAACACAGUAAAUGGUUACUCUCGGCACUGUUACUGCUAUACAUUCACAGAAAACACACAACAUAUGAUAAUAAUAAUAAUAAAAUAGGAGAUAAAACACUUAAUGUGUUAAUAAAAGGCGUGGGUGUUGUCAAACUUCCAGUAGCAGGAAUGGUUAAGUAUAAUACUUCACUGUGAUAAAAAUAUUAUAUGACAAUUAAAAUAAGGACAGUAAUUAUAUAGUUAAAUAAUAACAUAACCCCUACAAUAAUGAUUAUAAACUAAGGUUUAUAAAAUUAUAUAAUAAGGAUUAUAUCUAUACACAUAUAUUUUGUGUAAGGUUUAUAUAAGAUAAGGAUUAUAGGUGGCAGUUAAAAUAAGGGUUCUCUGAGGGAGGCACGAUUCGCUAGUCCACUGUAGGACAGACAAAUUCAGAUGCCUCAGAUCAGCAGCCGGCCGUGCACACUUCCGGAGCUCGCCCUGUCUCAGAAUGUGCUGAACUGCAUCUCCAUUUGCUCUCUUCAUUAGUUCAUUCAUUCAGCAAACAAACAGCAGGCCCCUGCUAAAGUGUAACGCCCAAAGCUAAGUGCCUUGUUUGUUGAUGAAAUAAAUGGGUUUUGAGAAGGAGCAUCAGACUGUGUCAGGUGACCACCUUUAUCUUAGAGGAGCCUCACGGAAAGCUGGUGCGCCAUCAUCUGUGACGCGCUUCCAGGACGCGUCGUGGGCAGGGCCGGCCUGUGUGGAGACUGCGGCCCCGGAAGGUUCCUUCCCCCGGACCUCCGUGAGUGGCAGCUCUGCAGCUGUGCGAGGCGGCCUUCUUGCCCAGGCGUGGGGCCUCAGGGAGAGCCUGCGUGGGCUGGAAUUCAAGAACUUCCUACCAAUUGCCUCUCCCACGCCCCUCGGCUGCCCGCCCAAGUGCUGCCCACCGUCCACCAACUGCCCACUGCCCGCCUUCCAGGUUGCUAGCUCUGCACCUCCUGAGAAAUGUCCAUGCAAACCUCUGGCCCAGUGCCUUGGCUUUUAAGCAGCACACUCAGCAGCGGGCAGGCUUGGCCAAGAUGAGGAGGCGCAUGGCGUGAACGCAUGAGUUACCAUCUACACGCUUCUGACGACAGACACUACAGAUGGCUCAACACCCAUGGCAGCAAAGGAGCCGAGAAGAUCAGGGCUGCCCAUUACCUGCCCAGGCCAGAUUUAUCUGGCAGCACAUGGGCAACCAAAUCAGGAUACUCUUCCUAAAUCCUGCCCUUGUCUUAAACCAAGUUUGCACCAUGAACUUAGGUUUUGUGAAUACUGUUACCUUACUUUGCAUUCAACUUCACCUCCUCUUGUUGCCUUCCUUGAACAUUCUGCCAACUCAAGAAAAGAUUUCGAUCAUGCACCCAUGUCGGGAAGAAGCGAGAGCUCCAGGCAGGAGGGUGCACGUCUUCACAGGCGCAGCUGCUGUCUCACGGUGGUCCUGGGUUUGUGCACAGUCGACGUCAGGCAGCAGGGGGCCGGUGGCUACCUUCUGGGCUCUUUCACCUGCCGACUGGGCAGCUGCCCCGUUAUUUUGAGAAUCUACUUUAUUAUUAUCUUUAAUGGUUACACUCUAAUUAUGUCUUUGAGUACUAGACUAGUCACUUUCUCUUCGAUUCCUAUAUAACCCUUCAAAAUAAGUAUUAUUAUUCCCUCUUUACAGAUAAAGAAAUCGGGAUCCAGAAAGAUUAAUUUUUUCUGUGGUUAUUCAAUGAUUGUACAGGUUGAGUGUGAGUGUGUGUUGGGAGCAGGGUCAGGAGAGUGAGGUGGGGGAGGCUCA